GUCAAGUCAUCAUGGCCCUUAUGUCCAGGGCUACACACGUGCUACAAUGGGCGGUACAAAGCGGAGCGAGCCCGCGAGGGUCAAGCGAAACGCCGAAAGCCGCCCGUAGUCCGGAUUGAAGUCUGAAACCCGACUUCAUGAAGCUGGAAUCGCUAGUAAUCGCGCAUCAGCAUGGCGCGGUGAAUACGUUCCCGGGCCUU
rnacentral:rRNA from 1 species